UCGCGAAUCAUUCACAAUGGACGCAAGUCUGAUGAUGCCACGCCGCGUGCGGGAUGAAGGCCCUUUGGGUUGUAAACCGCUGUCAAGGGAGGGGAAACACCUAGUGUUAACAGCGCUAGGCUUGACUGCUCCCUAAAGGAAGCCCCGGCAAAACAUGUGCCAGCAGCCGCGGUAAUACAUGUGGGGCAAGCGUUGUUCGGAAUUACUGGGCAUAAAGGGUGCGUAGGCGGUUUGUUAAGUCACUGGUGAAAGUUUGCGGCCCAACCGUAAAAUUGCCUGUGAUACUGGCGAACUUGAGUGCGUGAGGGGUAGGGGGAACGAGCAGUGUAGCGGUGAAAUGCGUAGAUAUUGCUCGGAAGGCCGGAGCCGAAGGGGCCCUACUGGUACGUAACUGACGCUGAGGCACGAAAGCGUGGGGAGCAAACAGGAUUAGAUACCCAUGUAGUCCCUGAGCGGGCUGGCAAGGCGCAU
rnacentral:rRNA from 1 species